rnacentral:rRNA from 1 species
AGCUUGUUGGUGGGGUAAUGGCCUACCAAGGCUAAGACGGCUAGGGGGCGUGAGAGCGCGACCCCCCACAAUGGAACUGAGACUCGGUCCAUACUCCUACGGGAGGCAGCAGUGAGGAAUAUUGCGCAAUGGGGGCAACCCUGACGCAGCAACGCCGCGUGGACGAUGAAGGCCUUCGGGUUGUAAAGUCCUUUUUUGGGGGACGAUAGUGACGGUACCCCAAGAAUAAGUCCCGGCUAACUACGUGCCAGCAGCCGCGGUAAAACGUAGGGGGCGAGCGUUAUCCGGAUUUAUUGGGCGUAAAGCGCACGUAGGCGGCGCUGUAAGUUGGACGUGAAAUCUCUCGGCUCAACUGGGAGAGGUCGUUCAAUACUGCGGUGCUCGAGGUUGGAAGAGGAGAGUGGAAUUCCCGGUGUAGUGGUGGAAUGCGUAGAUAUCGGGAGGAACACCAGUGGCGAAGGCGGCUCUCUGGUCCACACCUGACGCUGAGGUGCGAAAGCGUGGGUAGCGAACGGGAUUAGAUACCCCAGUAGUCCACGCCGUAAACGAUGGAUACUAGGUGUAGGAGGUCAUUUACCCCUUCUGUGCCGUAGCUAACGCGUUAAGUAUCCCGCCUGGGGACUACGGCCGCAAGGCUAAAACUCAAAGGAAUUGACGGGGGCCCGCACAAGCAGCGGAGCGUGUGGUUUAAUUCGAUACGCGAAGAACCUUACCUGGGCUUGACAUGUUGGUAGUAGUGAAGCGAAAGCGGAACGACCCUUCGGGGAGCCAUCACAGGUGCUGCAUGGCUGUCGUCAGCUCGUGUCGUGAGAUGUUGGGUUAAGUCCCGCAACGAGCGCAACCCUCGUCGUUAGUUACAAGUGUCUAACGAGACUGCCGGUAUCAAACCGGAGGAAGGUGGGGAUGACGUCAAGUCAGCAUGGUCUUUAUGUCCAGGGCUACACACACGCUACAAUGGCCGGUACAAUAGGUUGCCACACCGCGAGGUGAAGCUAAUCCUCAAAGCCGGUCUCAGUUCGGAUUGCAGUCCGCAACUCGACUGCAUGAAGGUGGAGUUGCUAGUAACCGCGCGUCAGCAAUAGUGCGGUGAAUGCGUUCCCGGGCCUUGUACACACCGCCCGUCACAUCAUGGAAGUCGGUAACACCUGAAGUUGGUGACCGAACCGGAAGGUAGGAACUGCCUAAGGUGGGACCGGUAACUGGGAUGAAGUCGUAACAAGGUAGCUGUAGCGAGCUGCGGCUG